rnacentral:lncRNA from 12 species
CUAAGACUGAGUGGCCUAGACUGGUGACUGUCUCAAACUUGCAGUGUCAGCCUUCAGAGUCAUCCCUCUAUCUCUACAUGACAGAUUCUCCAUAGCCCUUCUGCUCCACUCUUGCUUACUUUGCUUCAAAGUAAGGGAGUGGGGAUGUAAGGGUGGAGUGGAAAGAGCACAAGGCAAUGUUCUGCUCAUGCCCAGUACAGAAACCACCACCUGUGAGCCCUGUGAAAUCUUCUGCUUUCUCAGUAGCCCACAGCGGGUGGGACGUGAUGGAUGGAUUAGAGGCCCACACGCAGCACUCACCUCCGCACUCCGAGGCGCCCUCCUGCACAGACAGGGUUGAGUAGGGCCCCACUGUCCAACCUCCCCUCUGGAGCAGGAGAUGUUUCUGAAAGGCCAGCACCUUGAGAACCAAGUUCAAGGGGAGAAUGGAAUGACUGCUCAUUAAGCCUGGUAAAUAUGGCAAGAAACCCUGAAAUGCACUGUUUUCCCUUUUU